rnacentral:tRNA from 2 species
GCCGCCGUAGCUCAGCCGGUAGAGCGCCGGCCUUGUAAGCCGGUGGUCGCGGGUUCAAGUCCCGCCGGCGGCUCCA